GGUUCAAAAAACGCUUCCACAAUUUUCUGAUGCUGGAGCAUGACGUGAAUGAGGCCAUCCUGGCAACCACAACACACCCAUACUUUAAGAUGAGGUGGUUACCCCAGAGGUUGGCUUCUGAGAAGAGGCGAAUACAGCAACUGAUGCUGCACUCAGCAGACGAACUCGGACUUCUCUCAGAGAGUGACGGGACCACACCGAGCACAGAGGAGAAUGACGAAUUCUUUGUGUUCACUGAUCAAGGAACAGUCAACCAGCUGGAGGCCGAGGCCUUGCCCAGCCACAGCAAGGCGGAACUGGAGACCCUUCAUUUUUUGGAGGAUCCCAGAAAAGACCUGGCUUCACUAAAUGCAUACCCUUUGAUGAAACAGCUUUUUGUGAGAUUUAACACAACCCUACCAUCCUCAGCCCCGGUUGAGCGCCUGUUUUCUUUUGCUGGCUUAGUGAACCGGCCUCACAGAAGGUCAUUAACACCAGAUAUGCUGGAGAAGUUGGUUGUCCUGAAGAACAACUGAUCUGUUUUUCUGUUUAAUAUGGAUAAAAUAAAAUGGAUUUGAAUGUAGCGUUA